rnacentral:rRNA from 1 species
GACGUAGGGCGCGAGCGUUGUCCGGAUUUAUUGGGCGUAAAGAGCUCGUAGGCGGCUUGUCGCGUCGUCCGUGAAAACCUGAGGCUCAACCUCAGGCCUGCAGUCGAUACGGGCGGACUUGAGUACUGCAGGGGAGACUGGAAUUCCUGGUGUAGCGGUGAAAUGCGCAGAUAUCAGGAGGAACACCGGUGGCGAAGGCGGGACUCUGGGCCGAUACUGACGCUGAGGAGCGAAAGCGUGGGGAGCAAACAGG